rnacentral:lncRNA from 1 species
CUGAGCCUGGGAACUCAAAGCUCAACAGUCCAACCUUCUUCGUUUAUUCUGGGUUUGGACCUUUUGCAGUCUUUUCUUGUCAGUGUCAACAACUACUUCGGUAGUAGCUGGAAGUCCAGAAAUCAAGGGGUGGGCGUUUCUUGCAUGAUCUUGACCCAUAUUGGGUCUUCUAACUUCUGUCUCCACAUUCAACAUUAAAUAUACCACAUCUCUCCAAAGGUCAUGCCUGUUCCAGUAUCCUGAACUCAGUGAGGAGGUUGGACUAAGUGUCAAAGGAAUGAAGGUCAAGCUCUGGAUUUUAUCAGAGAGUCUGAGCAAGACCACUGAUGUUCUGGGAAAAACUUGACUUUUCAGUGGAAUCUUCAUCUGCUGUACAUAACCAAAAGCCUUUGCUGUGAUGAAAACCAGGGAAUGCUAACAAAUCUGCAUACUGCUAUGUUCCAGAGGAUGAUAAAAGGUGCUGCAGUUGGCAUGACUGCUGACAAGAGACACUGAGAGGUUCACUUCAAAUUCAAUAUUCAGAUUGUCUUCAUGGUCUUUCCUUAGUCUCCCCUUAGAGACAGAACUGAAAUUCACCCUGGACCACAUCUUUUACAUGAAGGGAGAAGCAUGGGGAAAUUUCUAUUUCAUGUCAUAGGAAACUCCCAAUCAGUCUCAUGUCUCUGCACCUAGAGCAGAGGCUUUGCUUGAAUCACGUCUUAAAGCAAGUGAUGUUGGAAACGUGGUUGCAUAUGACUAGUCCUACCACACUUGCUGCAGCUGUUGUGAGGGAUGUUCCAGGUACAUCUUUAUCCAAUGCCAUCCAGGUGGUUGUUAAGCAGACCAUAUCCCUUGUCUUGUCUCAUGUGCAGUUAUUAUGAAUCAACUUGCAAGAAGGAGUUGAAAUACCACUUGCAAUGUUGUAUUUAUGGGUUUGACUGUCAAGGUUAAUCAUACACAGGAGAACAAUAACCCAAUCACAAAGGAACUCGCACAAUAUGUACUCACUGAUAAGUGGAUAAUAGCCCAGAAACUUAGGAUCAGUGGUCAUUCUUUACCCACACACUGCUCUACUGUGGACAGCAGCACAGGAUAGGAACCUGACACUUAGGUGGCUUGUUCCUCACUAUGUUCUCACAGCUUUUCAACUUGGACCACAUUUGUUAUGGUCAAAGAUGCAGUCUAGUGUGUUUUAAGUUCCAAUCUAUUGGUUGGUGGAUGAGUUAGGAUGCUCAAAGAUUCUGUUUACACCAUUCGGUGCUCCAUUUUGAUCCUGCCUUUGGUAUCACCAUGUCAUAUGAUCCCUCCAGAGUUCAUCCCAAAAUUUAUCAUCAUCCAUAAACUUUCCAACCAGCUCUGAGAAUUCAUUUCCCAGAAAAUAGAAUAUCCUAGGAUGGGAAUAACAUCUGUGGGCUCUUAUAAGCCAAUCCUGGUAGAUGGUAUUGCUCUGCCAGUAAUUGGAACAAUGAGUCUCUGCUGGUCCGUGAUGAGAAGAUUCCAGGCACCUUUGAGUGCCUGGAAAUGUAAUGAGAUGAUCUUGACCCUUAAACUGUUAGAUAUGGAGGAAGAACCUUUUGGCCAUCAUAUUCAAGCCUGCAUGAGUUCAUAUUUGUGUCCCAGGCCUCGAGCUUUUGAGUCUCCAAGGGAAAACUUUUGGUGGUGUUGCUACAGGAUCUACAUGCGGGUCUCUUUGUUUGCCUUCUGUACAUGGAUAACACAAGUGAUGUUCUGGCCCCUUUGUAGGGAGGAGAACAAAGACCUGGAGAUGUCAUGCUGUUCACCUGUUCAAACAGUGCAGAAGAGCAGGCAACCAACACCAGACCUUCUGGGUGCUAGGACCCUGUCACUAUGCAAGGGCUAUCUAGGAUGACUCUGUACAGGUGAUAUGGCAGAAGUUAAUUCUUUCCAAAAGAGCUUGACUGACAUAGUGAAGAGAGCUCCCACAACUUCCCUGUCACAGUCUCCAUCAGUUCUUCCAUGUCUCCUUGGCUAUCACUUCAGAGAGCUUCUGAUUCUCCUGACAGGAGAGCUCCAGCAAAAACUCGGACUUCAGUCUCAUGAUACUGAACAGACUGUUCUAGCUGAUGAGGCCGGGCUUAGAAGAUGGACUACAGCCAAGAACCCUGGCCACCAUAACGACAAGUCACACCUUUAGGAAACACUUGAAAAGCACUUAUGCACAGUAGAAAAGUACAAGGAUUAAAGUCUCCU